rnacentral:rRNA from 1 species
AUUGAACGCUGGCGGCAGGCUUAACACAUGCAAGUCGAGCGAGCGGCGGACGGGUGAGUAAUGUCUGGGAAACCGGCUGAUGGAGGGGGAUAACUACUGGAAAAGGUAGCCAAUACCGCAUACCAUCAUAUGUGCCCAGAUGGGAUUAGCUAGUAGGUGGGGUAAUGGCUCACCUAGGCGACGAUCCCUAGCUGGUCUGAGAGGAAGACCGGCAAAACUGGACCUGAGACACGGUCCAGACUCCUACGGGAGGCAGCAGUGGGGAAUAUUGCACAAUGGGCGCAAGCCUGAUGCAGCCCUGCGGCGUGUGUGAAGAAGGCCUUCGGGUUGUAAAGCACUUUCAGCGGGGAGGCGUUACUCGCAGAAGAAGCACCGGCUAACUCCGUGCCAGCAGCCGCGGUAAUUC